rfam:Picea glauca, whole genome shotgun sequence.
ACAUGCUUACAACAUAACGUUAAUGCAUCAGAUUCCAUUAAAACUUCAUAUUUAAGCACACUCGAGUUAGAGUAGUAUUGGGAUGGGUGACCGCCAGAGAAUUCCUAAUGUUUUACAUGUC